rnacentral:rRNA from 1 species
GAUGAACGCUGGCGGCGUGCCUAAUACAUGCAAGUCGAGCGAACAGGCGAGGAGCUUGCUUCUCUGACGUUAGCGGCGGACGGGUGAGUAACACGUGGAUAACCUACCUAUAAGACUGGGAUAACUUCGGGAAACCGGAGCUAAUACCGGAUAAUAUAUUGAACCGCAUGGUUCAAUAGUGAAAGACGGUUUUGCUGUCACUUAUAGAUGGAUCCGCGCCGCAUUAGCUAGUUGGUAAGGUAACGGCUUACCAAGGCAACGAUGCGUAGCCGACCUGAGAGGGUGAUCGGCCACACUGGACCUGAGACACGGUCCAGACUCCUACGGGAGGCAGCAGUAGGGAAUCUUCCGCAAUGGGCGAAAGCCUGACGGAGCAACGCCGCGUGAGUGAUGAAGGUCUUCGGAUCGUAAAACUCUGUUAUUAGGGAAGAACAAAUGUGUAAGUAACUAUGCACGUCUUGACGGUACCUAAUCAGAAAGCCACGGCUAACUACGUG